rnacentral:lncRNA from 1 species
AGAAGUUUUCUAUCCCAAAACGUGGAGAGGCGUGGGUCUUAAAGUCACUAGGAAAAAAAUGGAAAGAUUACAAGGGCAGUUUGAAGGGUGAGUAUGCGCAAAAAUAUAAGACUAAAGAUGCUUUACUAAAAAAUAGACCAAGUCGUAUACCGAGGGAUCAAUGGAGUGGUCUUGUCUCGUAUUGGCUUUCCGAUAAAGCUAAGGUAGCAACCUUGAAACGCUUUACUAAAAAAUAGACCAAGUCGUAUACUGAUGGAACAAUGGAGUGGUCUUGUAUCGUAUUGGCUUUCCGAUAAAGCUAAGGUAUCAACCUUGAAAAUUCUCCUAGUCUACUCAUUUUCAUAGCGUUUUGACUUGUAUCGUAUUGGCUUUCCGAUAAAGCUAAGGUAUCAACCUUGAAAAUUCUCCUAGUCUACUCAUUUUCAUUGCGUUUUGAUUUUAGGUAUGCUCAAUUUUUGUUUAAAUUUUAUAAGAUAUCAUUUUAAUAUAUCAAUGACAAAGACGUACCCUAGCAAAUAGAAACAAUAAGGCCAAGCAACGAUGCUUCACACAGGAGGAUCAAAAAGUAUUGCCACCUUGAUGAAUGAGCAGGUAAACCUGUGAAUACUACAAACUAAAAUAUUUUAAUCUUUUUUUUGUCAUGCAAACAUAUAUAAUAUUAUUUUUAUUGUAUUAGGCUGUAAACGGGAUAGAGAAUACACGAGCAAAAAUUUUCCUAUUAACUCAUAAAAAACGUUAGGAUGGUAGGCCACUGGAUGAUGAUUCUGUCAAGGCAAUCGUAAGAUUUAUUCUUUCUUAAUUUUUGGGUUUCAUGACUCUGUCAAACAAUGAGCAA